rnacentral:rRNA from 1 species
UACGUAGGGGGCUAGCGUUGUCCGGAAUCAUUGGGCGUAAAGCGCGUGUAGGCGGUCCGGUAAGUCCGCUGUGAAAGUCCAGGGCUCAACCCUGGAAUGCCAGUGGAAACUGUCGGGCUGGAGUCCGGAAGAGGCGAGUGGAAUUCCUGGUGUAGCGGUGAAAUGCGCAGAUAUCAGGAGGAACACCAAUGGCGAAGGCAGCUCGCUGGGACGGUACUGACGCUGAGACGCGAAAGCGUGGGGAGCAAACAGG